CUUCCUUAGAUGGCAGCCCUUGGGGGGUGGGGGCACCAGACACAUCCCCGUGGAAAGGAGGUUCCGUUUGAAUCCCUGCCCCAGCUCUCCUCGGCCUGCCCUUGAACACGAGGCUUAAUCUCUCGAGCCUCCGCCUUGGUGGUGGGGGGGGGGGGGGUGGUGGUGAUGACAACAGCUCCUGAAAGGUCCCUGAAAACCCUGAGCGGGAUGAAAGGGAAGCGCCCCGGGGGUUGCCAAACUCCUAGAGUAACAGCACAUCACGACCACAAGACUUUUUGCUUUCUGGUUGCCACAAAAUGAAUUUAUUUUAACAGAAAUCUACAAAAGUCAACCGUGUUGUGUUUAAAUCCUGAGGCAGGUUGGGGUAAGGGAGAAAUGACCAAAGCAUGACCUUAGGCCGGUGAGGGGGUGCACCCAGAGCUCGAGGUGGGUGCAACCACCCCGGAGGGAGGGAGGCUGGCCUCUUCCUGUGUGUGCAGGGGGAGGGGAGGAGAGCCGCAGCGGAGCAGGGGUGGUUGCCGGGCUUUACGGUCAUGUCCACAUUUGCUCGUUAUUUAUGAAAUGCUCUGCCUUCAGAGGGCCGCCCCCGGGGUCCCCGGUUUUGCCCUUGUCCCCACGCCUGCAAGCUGGGGCAAAGUCUCGCUGCUCCGGGAGCAUUAGCCUCCACUGCCCGCACUGCCCUUUAAGAGGAAAACCCAGCGCCUGUGCUCCCAGCUGGAGACCCUCUCUCUGAGAGUGUGAGGCAACCUCGCUGGCCUGCCUGGAAGAGGAGGCUGUUGGGAGAACGUGGGAGCACGGUCUCUGCCAAGAUCCCCGCCCGAGGAAAGGACGGUGAGCUGGUCUGCAGACCCGGCCUCCGUGCGGAGCCUGCUGGGAGCUGACCGGAGAUGCCUCUGGGAGCUCGUGAGCUCCCCAUCCUGGGAGUGUGUGAACAGGGCUGGCCGAGGCUGUGAGGGUGAUGCCGUGAACGCACCUCAGAUGGCAGAAGCACAGGGGCUUACUGUUUCCAAGUCCAUUUUGGAUUCUACUCCUUGAAACUGUUAUAUACACAUGAUCUCCCUUUGGACGACUCGUGUGUUCCACUGAAAGAGCACUGUCUCCAUCGCCCACCCCAGGGAAACACUGUCCCCGAGGCCCCCGGGGAGCCUGGGCUCCUGGCCCUCCGCGUGGGCCCCACCAAACCCAGGGUCACAUUGGACAGUCUCCUCACCGGGGACCCUCCGCCAGGACUCAUCCACAGGUGCAAUUUGAAAGGUAAAUCAGGAAGGAACGUUUCAGGCACAUUAAUGCAAAACUCGGGCCUUUGGUUCUCCAACGUUAAGCCGGUGCCUUGGUACCUCGGGGGGCCCCUGGGAGCACCUGUGUGCCCGAGACCACGCCCUAUGUGGCCUGCCCAAGGGGGCAGCCAGGUGCCUCGGGGCAGGUGUCACAGGGCCGAAAGUGCUGGCCCACGCUCCGGGCCACUGGUGCUGUGGGACUGGGUGGCGGCCUGCUCUCCAGAAGCCACCCCUGUCCUUCAGCGUGUGGGGGACGGAUUAGGAGAGCAGGGACGAGGCCUUCGAGAGGUCACUCACAGAGCACAGCAGCCUUUGAGAAUAAGCCAGCCUGAUAAAGUGCCCUGGAACAUUCUGAACUCAGUUCUAUUCGGGGGGGGGGGGGGGGGGGGGGUGGCAGGGAGGUUUGUCCGGAGAGGAAGUAAUUAGAAGGAAAAGAAAAAAAGUACCCAAGUUGCACCGGCCCCCCUGUGGUCCCACGGAGGCCGUGCCACCGCCUGUCAGAGCCUCUCUAGGAGACUCGCAACAGGCGUGUUACAUUUUUACGGUCGAUCACCACCGUCUGGUGUCACCUUUGGAGGCACCCCAGGAAACCGAGAUGUGUAAGCUCCUGUCGACCGGCACACCCUCUCUCCAUGUUCGCCCGCUGGACUUACGCACAUCUCACAUCUCCUCGUACGAUCGGAAGCAAAGAGAGAGGGAGAAACGUUCCCCGCGUCCCAAGACAAGUUAAUGGUCAAACCAGAAGUGCCCCUGACGCUCCACAGGCAGCAGAUGGGGCGUCGUGUUCUUUUUAGGAGCCGCUCCUAACUGAACAGGUCACUGCUCAGAGAAGCUGCUGUUACACUUUGGUUUCUGGUGGAGAAAGAAGGAGUCCGGGCUUUCCUGCCUGACUAGACGGCCGUGUGAUCUGAGGACGUCACUUGAGGACACCCAGGGCACCAAAGUUCCAGGAAAGUCCGACUCAGCAAAGACGGGGGAAGGCCCCUCUCUCUGCAGCUCCACGGCACAGGUACUCCGGGACCCGCCGAAUGGCAGGUGCCAGGCUCCCGUGACCCGUGGGGUCCAGCCCUUGUCGAGACCCAGGGCCUCGGCCGCCCGGCACUUCCCUGGAAGGAUCACUUGACUUUCAUUGGGAUCCACUUGUGCGGUCCUUCUCCGUUCGCUUCCACAGAGGCAAAUGUCUGCCAGCGGCAGGGCUUCUGGAACUGCCCAGGCCUGCCCGGCGCCUGCCCUGUCAGACUGGGGUGGAGGUGGGGUCAGAAGGUCUGUUUGGCAGAGACCUCACAUUCCAGAAUGACCUCAUGGUAGGUGAGUUGUUAUUUCAGCCUCACCGACCCGCACGCGGGGCCUCCCGACGACGCCUUGGGGAGUCCAGCCUUCCCGCUCGCUGUCGUGCCCACCCAGGUAACGCGCGUCAUUUGUGAAUCCUGUUAAUUGGCCUGACUAGGAAGGUGGUAUUGCAUCGAGGGUGUUUUUGUGUCGGAAACACUUAAAGCAAAUAUUCAAAUUAUCAACAAUUAUUUGUA